rnacentral:lncRNA from 1 species
GUGGGAUCAGCUACAGGGCAGGGAGAGACUCCUGAACCUGUGUCUCUGCCAUCAGGGGGUGGGGGAACCCCAGCUUAUGGCUCCUCUCUAGGUCCUGCUCCCAGGUACCCCAUCCUCUGCAGGAGAGACCUUCUGAUGGAGCUUCAAGUAUGUUCAUGCUGGGCUGUGCCACGUAUGGAGGGGGACAAGCCUAUUAUCUUUAUAUUAGGGGAACUAAUAGCCCAUUUCCUGGGAAAUCUGUGAGUGAUAAAAAUAAGUGGGCCGUUUUAUUCCUUUUGCCAAGAGGAGCUGGCACAAGGGGAUGGGGGACGGCUUUGUUGUCUCUCUGGCUAGUGGGAGUGUCAGGGCUGGCCGGGAGCAGCCACCUCGGCUGGUAGUCCCCAGCGCUGCGGGGAGGGACUCCAGGCCCCACAUGGGAGGAAGGAGAGUUGUUUUGCUCUGGAGUGCCUGUGAUGGUCUCCCACUUCUGACUCCACCCUUCCCGGGGGGCCCUGCUUCCAGCCCUCCCCACAAAGCUGAGCCCAGGGGAGAAUGUACUGCCUCGUGGAACUGAGCAAGAACUUGCCUCUGUUCUCUCUCCUAGGCAUAUUUUAUUCAAUGCUGCAUUUCCCACUGUGGGGUUUGUCCCCUAAUGGAUGAACUUACAGGUAUCAGGGAAUAUUGGGAGGCUGGGGGCAGAGGGGCCACUCACACUCCUGCAGUGGGUUAGAAUCCUCCCCUGUGUGGAGAAACUUGGCUCCUAUCUUGCCCUAGAGGUCCUUCCUUGUCUCAGUUUCACCUCAUUUCAAAGGUGAAUUGGAACCUAUGCCAGCAAACCCACUGAAGGCUCCCUCCUCUGCUGUUACCAUCUGAGGAGCCGUGGGAAUGGGAGGGGGCACUCUUCUUAAACUGCAGCCCUGGGCAUGUAGCCCUGCCACUUCCCCACAGCAUCUCUCUCCUGCCACAAAAGGACACAUAGAUCCCUUUAGAGGUAACCGCUUUGCUCAAGUAGGAGUCAUCUCAGGGCAGCCACGGCGUCUGGGUUUCCAGCUUUGUGUUCUCAGCCACAUAGAAAUCUGCCUUCUCCUCCAAGUUCCUGCCUGCAUCACCAAAGGCCAACAGCCUCUAUCCUCCGGUCCCUGGCGAAAUCGUCUUUCUGAUGGAAACAGGAAUCACACCCUGGUUCAUGUGCUAUUUCGGAUGAUCCAGAGUCCCCAUGACAGGUGCGCCCUGGACUCUGCUGUCUCCAACCCCGCUUUGAAGAGCUGCCUCUUCUGAGCUGGCCCACUUCCACCUACAAGUACCAGCAGGCAUUGAAUUCUGGAGGUUGCGGAUCCCUGCUUUAAGAGAAGGCUUGGGGGACUUCCCUGGCGGUCCAGUGGCUGAAGACUCUGUGCUCCCAGUGCAGGGGGCUCCAAUUCAAUCCCUGGUCAGGGAACUAAACCCCACAUGCCCCAACUAAAGAUCCAGCAUGCUGCAAUUAACACCCAAAGCAGCCAAAUAAAUGAAUACAGAAAUAAAUAUUGUUUUAAAAA